AUUGAACGCUGGCGGCAGGCCUAACACAUGCAAGUCGAACGAGUGGCGGACGGGUGAGUAAUGUCUGGGAAACUGCCCGUUGGAGGGGGAUAACUACUUGAAACGGUAGCUAAUACCGCAUACCAUCGGAUGUGCCCAGAUGGGAUUAGCGGGUGGGUGGGGUAACGGCUCACCUAGGCGACGAUCUCUAGCUGGUCUGAGAGGAUGACCAGCGACGAUGGACAUGAGACCCGUUCCAGCCUCCGACGUGAGGCUGCAGUGGGGACUAUGGAGCAAUGGGAUGAAUCGUGAUGCAGCCAUGCCGCGUGUAUGCAACAGGCCUUCAGGUUGAAAAGUGCUUUCCGCGCCGAGGCGUUACUCGCAGUUGAGGCGCCGGCUAACUCCGUGCCAGCAGCCGCGGUAUAAC
rnacentral:rRNA from 1 species